GGAAUUGACGGAAGGGCACACAAAGAGUGGAACCUGCGGCUUAAUUUGACUCAACACGGGAAAACUCACCAGGUCCGGAUACACGUAUGAAAGUCAAGCUGAAAGACUUUACUCAAUGAUGUAAGUGGUGGUGCAUGGUCGUUCUUAGUUCGUGGAUUGAUUUGUCUGGUCUAUUCCGAUAACGAGCGAGACCCCGGCGUUCCUAAUAGGGGCGGCAGCCAAGCCGGUCGCAAGAUCGGCUAGCUCGCCGCCUGAAGUUAUACUUCUUAGACGUAUCAGAGCCGACAAGGUUCUUGAAAUGGGUUAAUAACAGGUCAGUCAUGCCCUUAGAUGUUCUGGGCCGCACGCGCGUUACAAUGGCACGUAUACCGAGUGCUUGAAUAAGGCGUCCCCGGGGCCGAAAGGUCCCGGUAACCCUUAGUCCUUGCUUUGACUGGGACAGAUCUUUGCAAUUAUUGGUCUCAAACGAGGAAUUUUUAGUAAUCGUAGGUCAUUAACCUGCGUUGAAUGCGUCCCUGCCCUUUGUACACACCGCC
rnacentral:rRNA from 1 species